rnacentral:sRNA from 1 species
UUAGAGUUUGCGUUAGGGAUUGAAGCUGCAUCUCCCGAUGGAUAAAAACAAGGGCUUUGCUCGUAGCUUUUUACCAAUCGGGAAUAUAGCGCAAAGCCCGACCUGAA